rnacentral:rRNA from 1 species
AACGAACGCUGGCGGCAUGCCUAACACAUGCAAGUCGAACGAUACCUUCGGGUCUAGUGGCGCACGGGUGCGUAACGCGUGGGAACCUGCCCUUAGGUUCGGAAUAACUCCCCGAAAGGGGUGCUAAUACCGGAUAAUGUCUUCGGACCAAAGAUUUAUCGCCUUUGGAUGGGCCCGCGUUGGAUUAGCUAGUUGGUAGGGUAAAAGCCUACCAAGGCGACGAUCCAUAGCUGGUCUGAGAGGAUGAUCAGCCACACUGGGACUGAGACACGGCCCAGACUCCUACGGGAAGCAGCAGUGGGGAAUAUUGGACAAUGGGCGAAAGCCUGAUCCAGCAAUGCCGCGUGAGUGAUGAAGGCCUUAGGGUUGUAAAGCUCUUUUACCCGGGAUGAUAAUGACAGUACCGGGAGAAUAAGCUCCGGCUAACUCCGUG